rnacentral:rRNA from 1 species
CAUCCAUACCAGGCUGAGUACACCGGUUCUCGUCCGAUCACCGAAGUUAAACAGCAUCGGGCGCGGUCAGUACUUGGAUGGGUGACCGCCUGGGAACACCGCGUGAUGUU